UGCAAGUCGAGCGCGCCCUUCGGGGCGAGCGGCGAACGGGUGAGUAACACGUGGGAACGUGCCCUUCUCCACGGAAUAGCCUUUGGAAACGAAGAGUAAUACCGUAUACGCCCUUCGGGGGAAAGAUUUAUCGGUGAAGGAUCGGCCCGCGCCCGAUUAGGUAGUUGGUGGGGUAAUGGCCCACCAAGCCGACGAUCGGUAGCUGGUUUUAGAGGACGAUCAGCCACACUGGGACUGAGACACGGCCCAGACUCCUGCGGGAGGCAGCAGUGGGGAAUCUUGGACAAUGGGGGAAACCCUGAUCCAGCCAUGCCGCGUGAGUGAAGAAGGCCCUAGGGUCGUAAAGCUCUUUCGUCAGGGAUGAUAAUGACAGUACCUGGUAAAGAAACCCCGGCUAACUCCGUGCCAGCAGCCGCGGUAAUACGGAGGGGGUUAGCGUUGUUCGGAAUUACUGGGCGUAAAGCGCACGUAGGCGGGCUGGAAAGUCGGGGGUGAAAUCCCGGGGCUCAACCCCGGAACUGCCUUCGAAACUCCCAGUCUGGAGUUCGGGAGAGGUGAGUGGAAUUCCGAGUGUAGAGGUGAAAUUCGUAGAUAUUCGGAAGAACACCAGUGGCGAAGGCGGCUCACUGGCCCGGUACUGACGCUGAGGUGCGAAAGUGUGAGGAGCAAACAGGAUUAGAUACCCUGGUAGUCCACACCGUAAACGAUGAAUGCCAGUCGUCGGGCAGCAUGCUGUUCGGUGACGCACCUAACGGAUUAAGCAUUCCGCCUGGGGAGUACGGUCGCAAGAUUAAAACUCAAGGAAUUGAC
rnacentral:rRNA from 1 species